UAAAAGCUUGGUCCCGACUUUAUUAUCAGCUUUAGCUCAACUUAUACAUGCAAGUAUCCGCACCCCUGUGAAAAUGCCCUCAAUCUCCUGCCCGGGGACGAGGAGCUGGCAUCAGGCACACCUUACACUAGCCCAAGACGCCUUGCUAAGCCACACCCCCAAGGGAACUCAGCAGUAAUAAACAUUAAGCUAUAAGUGAAAACUUGACUUAAUUAGAGCUCAUUAGGGUUGGUAAAAUUCGUGCCAGCAACCGCGGUUACACGAUGGACCCUAGUUGAUAAACACGGCGUAAAGGGUGGUUAGGGUAAAAAAUAAAUAAAGUCAAACACCCUCUUGACCGUUAAAAGUGUUUUCGAGGCCGCGAAGCCCCACUACGAAAGUGACUUUACCACCUCCCGACCCCACGAAAGCUAAGAAACAAACUGGGAUCAGAUACCCCAUUAUGCUUAGCCUUAAACCCAGAUGUUUUUUAUACAAGAAACAUCCGCCAGGGUACUACAAGCGCUAGCUUAAAACCCAAAGGACUUGACGGUGUCUUAGUCCCACCUAGAGGAGCCUGUUCUAGAACCGAUGAUCCACGUUUAACCUCACCACCCCUUGUUAUCCCAGCCUAUAUACCGCCGUCGCAAGCUUACCCUGUGAAGGAUAAACAGUAAGCAUAAUGGGGUUUCCCCAGAACGUCAGGUCGAGGUGUAGCUUAUGAGGUGGGAAGAAAUGGGCUACAUUCUCUAUUUUAGAGUACACGAACGGCACUAUGAAAUUAGUACCUGAAGGUGGAUUUAGCAGUAAAAAUCAAAUAGAGAGUCAUUUUGAAGCAGGCUCUGAGACGCGCACACACCGCCCGUCGCUCUCCCCAACAAAACUAAAUUAAGUAAAUAACUAAAUAACUAAUAAAACGGGGAGAUAAGUCGUAACAUGGUAAGUGUACCGGAAGGUGUACUUGGAACAUC
rnacentral:ncRNA from 1 species